AUUGAACGCUGGCGGCAGGCCUAACACAUGCAAGUCGAGCGGAUGAAGGGAGCUUGCUCCUGGAUUCAGCGGCGGACGGGUGAGUAAUGCCUAGGAAUCUGCCUGGUAGUGGGGGAUAACGUCCGGAAACGGGCGCUAAUACCGCAUACGACCUGAGGGAGAAAGUGGGGGAUCUUCGGACCUCACGCUAUCAGAUGAGCCUAGGUCGGAUUAGCUAGUUGGUGGGGUAAAGGCCUACCAAGGCGACGAUCCGUAACUGGUCUGAGAGGAUGAUCAGUCACACGGGAACUGAGACACGGUCCAGACUCCUACGGGAGGCAGCAGUGGGGAAUAUUGGACAAUGGGCGAAAGCCUGAUCCAGCCAUGCCGCGUGUGUGAAGAAGGUCUUCGGAUUGUAAAGCACUUUAAGUUGGGAGGAAGGGCAGUAAGUUAAUACCUUGCUGUUUUGACGUUACCAACAGAAUAAGCACCGGCUAACUUCGUG
rnacentral:rRNA from 1 species